rnacentral:lncRNA from 1 species
CUUGGAAUUAACGUCAGAGCCUGCAGCUCAUUCUUUGACUAUCUCCUGUGGUGGCAAAUCUCUUUUUGAAGGAGGAUUUUGUUUUGGAUGCAACCAAAGUCCCUUGCAGCCAAAUACCAUGACUAAGAUGGUGAACUGGAUGCAUUGUUAGCAUGCCUCUCCCACUUGAAAAGACAAAAUACUGUGUAGAAAUUCAUGCUGUGAACGUUUUUCCAAGAAACAGCAUAGGAAAUUAAUCAAAAAACUGAAAGAAACCACAGACCUAUUUCAAAGAAGUGGUGAGCAGCAGCUUACGCCGUGAACCACACAAAAACCUGUGAGUGUCCAGAGCGUGAGAGGGAGAGACUGCAUUUAUGACACACACUCUCACUGAGGAGCCAGGCAAUCCAGGCCACGCUGGGAGGCCUUCACUCUAUCCAGCGCUGGAGCUGACUUACUGCUGUGGGGAGCAUAUGAGGAAUGGCGUGCGGAUCUGCUUUGUGUUCACUCGCAGAAUCCAGUGGUGAUGGAAGGAAAUCAUGCCUGAUCCUACCUCACGGAGGACCUCGCAGAAGUCUGCCAGCUAAUUGAGUUAAUGGUCAUGGGAUGAGAGAUGCUCCCAACAGAUGUGCGGUAUAAUUUUGAGUGGGAAUGAACCCCAUUGGCCAGAAUUGAGAGUCAAGUGGGAACUGUGCUAUAGCCACAGGCACAGAAGCUGGAUGCCCACGCUUUGCUGGAGGACCAGAAGAGGUGUGGCCUGAAAGCCGCAGUUUCUCUCUCAGCCCAGAAUGCUUCUGGCCUGGGGCAGUUUGGAAUUCUGAGUGCAGGCUGUCUGGAACCCAGCUAGCUGCUGCUAGUAGAACACUGUGGAUGCGAGACCUGCCUUGCCAAGUGUGUGGGGGCUGAGUGGGGCUUACUGCCACCUGCUACCCCCGACUCCCCAUGUGGAUUCAUUUGUACAGCAGAGGCAGCUAUACUCCUCCCUGUAACAUUACCCCAGCAGGCAGGGAGUUGCCCUCUGAUCACCACUGGGGCUGCUGCUUGUACUCACAAGUGGGGAGCCAAACAGCAAACUUGCCUGACCCAGUCCCCACCUGGCUUUGCCCCUUCAUCUGCCCUGGUAGUGUGAUACAAUGGACAGAGACUCCUGGGAGCUCCAUGGCCCUGCACAUUGCCUGAAAUACCAGAGUACGCCACUCCCUUCCCCCCGACUCCCCUACCCAUGGUAACAUAAGGCAAGCACGAAUCCCAAAACUACCAACACAGUUGGCAUUCUUUUGCAAGUGCCACCUCCUGGCUGGAGGCCAAGUGGCACAGCCCAUUACAACAUCUGCAGGUACAAUAACACAGUGCCCAGGAAGGAGAAAACUUGCACAACCUCAACUAUCACCAUUGCCUACAUCACCCUGGCUAGCCAGUAGAUCUUGAGUCUGUCCAUGUGCCCAGUACAUGACCACCACAGCCGUAUUUGAGAAGGCCAACACACUAAGGCUAUUUAUAACCACGGAAAUCUCACAGGGUCUACGUCACUCCCUUCCCACCCACAACUGAGCUGGUACUGAUAUCCACUGCUGGGGGACCAGACAGAUCACAUCACUGGAUCCCUUGCAAACAUUCACCAGCACCAGCAUGGAGUAUGGAAACCUCACUGGGGAUGAGACCCAGAGGAGCAGCAGUAUUCACGGUAGUCUGGCCCUCAGGGACCGCUACUCUUAGGGGUGUGGGAGUGCAUCACAUUAAAGGAGCAUCGUAUGGGACAAAGGAAACCAGACUGCAGGCCUUGAGUCCCUGAUCUUUCCACUGUGGAAAGUUUCUUUCAGCAGAGGCACAGCUCAUCAUUUAUACCUGUAACAGGAGAGAGCACAAAAUCUCUCCUUCUUUCAAGCAAGCGGUUAAUCAAUCUUCUAAAACCAGGAUGUGUGUUUUGAGCUAAUCUCUGCCAGCAGAGUAUCUUAAACUACUCAGCCUACUGAUGAAAAAAAAAUUUCACCAGCAGAGGGCUGAAAAACAAUGUGGCAACACCAGAAAGUUGUCUGACAUUGCCUUGAUCUGAGAGGAUGAUAGGAAAUUUUUUGGCUGAUUUGAUCUCUUAGUGUCCUGAAGUUUAGUGUCAUUACUUACAUCAAAUCAAUCUAAGCUAUUAAAAAGAAAAGAAUUCUGGUGAAUGAGGCAAGAUCUAAAAGUGACUUUUUAAUCUUAUGAGCUAUCAUUUUAGAUUUAUAUAUCUCAUUUUCUCAAAUGGCAUGUAUAGUUAAUGAGGGUCAGGGCAUUUCUCAUGUAUAUCCUCCAUGUCACUUACUGUGGGGAUUUGUACUGCACUAAUGUAGACAAAUAAUUUAUUGUGAGAGGUUGUUGUUGCAAGUGGCAAGUUAGGCCACUGAAUUGAAUGAUUAAAUUCUGCGUUUAAAUGAGUUCUGGAGGAGCAAGACUAGUUCCCACAAUGUGAGAAGAUGACUUUAACUUUCAGUCCUUUAGUCUAGUAGGUAGGAAAAAAAAAUAACCAGAAAUUAAUUUGAUUCUCUGCACCUGUACACCUGACUGCUGAGAAUGAUAUGUUCAAUUGCUCAGGGGAAGAACACUUUGAAUAACUGAGAGUAAGUUAGAAAUUAUCACCUAUACAUAAAAACUAGCAUGCUAUAUUGUAAUACCUGUGAUAUGGUUUGGCUGUGUCCCCACCAAAUCUCAUCUUGAAUUGUAGUUCCCAUAAUUCCUGUGUGUUGUGGGAUGCAGUGGGAGGUAAAUGCAUCAUGGGGGCGGGUCUUUUCUGUGCUGUUGUUGUGAUAGUGGAUAAGUCUCAUCAGAUCUGAUGGCUUUAUAAAGAGGAGUUCCCCUGCACAGGCUCUCUCUCUUUGCCAGCCGCAUCCACGCAAGACAUGACUUGCUCCAUCUUGCCUUCCGCCAUGACUGUGAGGCCUCCCUAGCCAUGUGGAACUGUGAGUCCACUAAACCUCUUUUUUUUCCCAGUCUUGGGUGUGUCUUUAUCAAACUGCAACAGAAGAGGGCACAAACUCCUCCUUUCAAGGAAAAGAAGAAAAACGUAGAGUUCAAAAUGUCUGUGGUUAACCACAUAAUCUGAGUCUUCUAGUAAAUACUAUUUCCUGGGAGAAGUGUAGUUACUUUGGAAGGAAUCUGAACUUUUAGUUAUUGAUAUGCCACUUAGUAUUUAAAAGACAGUGAUUUACAAAAAGACUAUGCAGAAAGGCCUGGGCUUUCCAAGUUUUCUCCAAAACCCCUCAGGUAUUCCUGAUGAGCAAGUGAAGCAUUUAGAGGGUUUAACUCACCAUGUAUGUCUAACGUUACUACAUGUAAUUUAUGAGUCAUUGUUUUCUACUCAAUAGCUAAAUACUUUCACGUAUUUUUACUUAUGGGAUAUAAUUGAGGAAGAGAUACAAAUUCAAAAAGCAUCCAGAACUGAAAGCUCUUUCCAUUUAAUUUAUGGUAUAUACCAGGGUUGGCAAACUGAAUCUGCAGAACAAAUCUGACCCAUUAUUUGUUUUUGCAAGUAGUUUUUUUAGAACACAGCCAUGUCCAUUCACUUACUCAUUCUUUAUGGCUAGUUUUGUGCUACAACAGCACAGUUGAGCAGUUGUGACAUAGAUGGUAUUGACAGGAUAGUUAUUGACAGGAUUGACAAAGUUGCAAAUAUUUACCAUUUGGCUUUUUACAAAAGAAGUUUGCCAACCACUGAUGUAUAUUAUUAGAUACAUUAGUAACAAAUGACAUCAUAAAUUUCUUUCUUUUUAGCAAUCAUGUAUACCAAGGAUAUAAGAAAUACAUCUCAUUAGAAAAAAAUCUUCUAUUCAGCCGUCUUGCUUCACCUUCCUCUAGAACAAAAUCUUAUUGCCAAAUAAUUUAAGAAAAUAAUUCGGUCUUCAGAUUCAAUAUUUGUGCCUCAGGUUUCCUUCCUAGGAAUGAAUUCCCACUUCAAAAAACAGACACACACAUUCCAAAAGUGUUCUUUUAUUUCUAGUAACAUAUAUUGUAUAAAUACUCUAUUUUA